GAUGAACGCUAGCGGCAGGCUUAAUACAUGCAAGUCGUGGGGCAGCAGGUUUGUAGCAAUACAGAUGCUGGCGACCGGCAAACGGGUGCGGAACACGUACAGAACCUUCCUUUGAGCGGGGAAUAGCCCAGAGAAAUUUGGAUUAAUACCCCAUAGUAUAAUGAAGUGGCAUCACUUUAUUAUUAAAGAUUUAUCACUCGAAGAUGGCUGUGCGGCUGAUUAGGUAGUUGGCGGGGUAAAGGCCCACCAAGCCUGCGAUCAGUAACUGGUGUGAGAGCACGACCAGUCACACGGGCACUGAGACACGGGCCCGACUCCUACGGGAGGCAGCAGUAAGGAAUAUUGGUCAAUGGAGGCAACUCUGAACCAGCCAUGCCGCGUGGAGGAUGAAGGUCCUCUGGAUUGUAAACUUCUUUUAUAUGGGACGAAAAAAGGCUUUUACGUAAGUCGUCUGACGGUACCAUAUGAAUAAGCACCGGCUAACUCCGUGCCAGCAGCCG
rnacentral:rRNA from 1 species